UUGAGUGGAGGCAGCUGGGGAGGACAAGGACCAGGGAGUGGGUCUGGCUGACCUGAGCCAACCCUGCAUCCAUCCCCAGCAAGAACAACAGCAACUGAAAAACAAACAAAAACCGUCACGCCAAGGUGCUUUUUAAAUAACAAAGUGAAAUGAUGGAAGCUAAUAAAAGAGCAAAGCUGGAAUAAGCUCUCAGCAACACUGAGACAGGAAGAUCAGGUCUAACAGUCUGAUAAAGUCACAGCAGGAAAAAAACAGUCAACAGGAAAUUAAGAACGUUGUUUAGACUUGGAGCAAGCUUUCAGUGCUGGGCCCUGCAGAUGACCGACCUGAGGCCAGCGAGAGCAACACAGGGCAAGGGCAGCUGGAGCAGACAGGUUACAGAGCAGACUGGAGACAAAGAGGGAGUGCACGUGAUGCUCCAGCACAGAGAGGGCCUGGGACAAAUGGGGUCAUGCUGUCUUGUGGCCUGAUUUGGAGAUCAACGACCUGGAAGAAGGAGCACUGAGUAGGAAAAGGCGCUCUACAGACAGCGUGCCAAAGGAGGCUGCUCCAAGAGAGCGAGCACAUAGCGCUGCCUUUGCCAGCUCAGGCAGGGGGAGGCACUGUGAAAUGUCUGCUUCUGCAUUAAUUUGACAGUGAAAUUUACUGCACCUCUAAACAUUUCCUUCAAAGAGAUGCUUGGUUUGAGUGACAAAAGGACCUGUCUCAUCUCCACUGAAACUGUGAAAAACUGUGUUGUUUCCAUGAGCUAUGCAAAUAGGACAGACCUGCUAAAACCCUCCAAGACUGUAUCUCGUGGGCUUGUUUGCACAGUCCCCACCAGAAGUAUAUGCUGCACAGAAAAAAUACGAACAAACUAGUUUGUCUUUACUCCCCCAGCACCUUCAGUCCCCUUGUGGCCUGUUGGUUGGCAUUUGCAGUGAUAAGCUACGGCCCCAAAUUCACUGAUGAAUCAAACAAAUGCCUCUCUGUAUCCUGCACAAAACACAAUAGAACAAAGCAGCUCAGCACCACAGGGAUUUCUGAGAGCAAGUCUCUGGUCCUCGUGGCAGCUCAGCACUGAGUUAAGACAGACAAUUAGUGCAGAGCAGUCAGUAGAGCCUGAGUGUGCAGAACACAGAGUGGUGGGGAGCUGGGAAGAAGGUGAACUGGGGAUGCUGGUCAAUGCAAAUGCAAGCCAGGCACUCAGGGUGUCUGUGCUCUGCCUUAGGAAACCACCACAGGGAGUCUGAUGAUUUCCCCACCCCCCCAGAAAAGAAAAGAUACAGAAAGAGGAAAAACUGAAGCAGCACCAGUGGAAAUGAAAUGCCUGGGAGCAAGAACUGGAGCAACCUUAAGGCUUGCUUCAGAGCAACCGUCAAAGUUUGGCAAAAGCAUUGGCUUUAUGCCAGGACAUGCAUCAGCAGCUCAGCACAAGAUUGUGGAAGAGCCAGAAGAGGGGGUACAAGCAAGCCUGCUCAAUGCAAACAUUUGCUGAAGACAUAACUACAGUGAACACCAUCUAACAAAUUGAGAUGACAGAAAGUUUAACUUGUUGGGAAAUACUGCAACCAUAUUAAAAUCGGUCUCUUCUUCCUUGUCACGGACCAUCUUUCACGAAUGGCAUUAUCAUUUGUGGACUAACUACAGACAGGAUCAAUUGAAGCGGUUAAGGUUCACAAUUAAAAGUCUAAUCUGUAUCAGGGCACCACUGCCUUUUGGAAGCCAUAAACCAUCUUUUUGUAGUCAGAGAGAAGAAAGCAGCCAUUUAUCUUAAAAAUUAUUUUUAAGAAGGCAGCCUUCUAGCAUUAUUAGGGUAACUUUGAAAUUAACUACUGUUAAAUGCUUAGGAGGUAAUAUUUAAACAAAUAAAGAACAAGAUUAAAUAUUAGACAGUGUGCAUUCCAGGCCUCCAGUCACAGGCAUAAAGACAACUGGUUCUUUGAAGAUAACUCUCAGCCAUAUGUAGUCACAUAGCAUUUUCCAUUCAUUCUGAGAAACAUAACCUGCAAAUCAAGCCAAUAUUAAAAUGUUCUUGGAGCUUUUGAAUUUACUAACGAUCAUUUCUGCAUUCAAAAGCCUCUUACAGAUCACAAGAAUUCUCAUCUUGAGAAAUAAAAAAGCAUCUCAGAAUUAACAGACUAAAGCAUAAGCAGCUAACUAGAUGCUUCAUAGACAAAUAAACAUCAACAACUUGUUAAUGCUUUAGAGAUCUUGACAAUGCAUUUUUACAAACAAGAAAGAAGAAAAAGAACAUUGUCUCAAGUAGGCUUCUUAUCCUAACAUUCAUCUAGUUAAAGUAAGAAAACAUAUGACAUGGCACUAACCAAUACAGAGUGACAGAAGGAUGUAUAAAAUGAAUGCUAAGUUGCAAUGGUUUGUGGAACUUGUCAGACUCUUGAAAUCAUUUUGAUGCAAGAUAAAUAAAACUGAUAAAGGUGAUGAUGUUCAUUUACAUGUACACUGAUACCUAUAAAAUAUCCAUCCCUCUCUAGGACAGAACAAUAUAAAGCAAACACAUAAGUUAAACCACUUAAAUGACAGAUUUCCAAGUGUCAUUUACAAUGUGGGAAUUCAAGAUUGUUUGGCUACACUUUCUUAGAAAUACAGUAGGAAGGAAGUGACAGUUGUCUUUGUGCUAUUAAGCAUUUUUAUGAAUGACUUGGGGAAACCAAAAGUUUGCAGAUGACAAAGAUAUUUGGGGAAACAGCAACUUGGAACUGAAGUGCUCUACAAUCUAGGAAGGGAAAGGAUAAAGAGAAACAAAGGCUGAAAGUCAAACAGAUAAUACAAACUGAAACCAAGACAUUUUUAACUGCGAAAACAGCAGAAUCAAUAGUUAUUUACUAUGGCAAGCAGCAGACUCUCUAGCAAGACUAUUGAAAAAACAAAAAUAGGAAUUUCUCUUACGUUCCAAGCUGUAGCCAUGCUAUUGAACCUGAAGCAAAAAUAAAGCAAGAGAGCCUGAAAGUCCAAAUCAAACCACAGGUCAGGCUGGGUGGUCCCUUCUGAACUUUUUAUCAUAGCUGAUUAUAUAAAUAGCUAUUAACGGAAGAGUCAAAUUCAUUAUAAGAUGUGGCCAUCUCCCACCCAAAGUCACCAUACUCCAGAGCUGGCAUUUUUAAAUCCUCUUAUUGCAUUUUC